GUUUUACGUAAAUAUGCAGGUGUUUCGUAAUGCCCUCUGCUGUUCAAGAGGUGAAAUACAACAGAUUGGUGGGCAUUAACCAAAAUGUGCAUUAACCACAGGCCCUUCAUGGACUUCCUCUCUCAGAAUGCAAAAAAAUACUCCUUGAUUCAACAGGGGCUUGUAUAAGACAGAGCAGGAAACAUAAGGAAGGAAAUGCAAAACCAGAGAGAUAAAGUUCAGCCUUAUGCAAGAGAAAGACUUAAAUGCCCGUGUCAGUCCAUGUUCAUCCCCAAGGCUCCAGGUCCAAUCACGUCGGGCCCCCUCAGUCCCCGGGCCUCAAGCUUCAGCUCCACCUAGCCUUUAGGUUAAUCUGGCCCUGAUCCUUCUGUGUAAUUAUGUAAGAGAUUCACAUCAUAUUUUACUUUGGUUUUGCUGUAAUGAUCCAACACAUCUAUAAAAAAAUACUUCCACACUGAUUCUGUGUAAUAUACUGGUAAUGCAGUAAUCUGAGCCCAUUUUCCUCCAUAUGAGAUUUCAGGAUAUGAGUUGAGAAAUCACUACAAGAAAAAUAAGAGCACUUCCUUCUAUCUCAUUCCACAGAAUGUAACAUAUACGAAAAAAAAAAAAAAGACAAGGAUAUAUGGACAAUGAAGUUGGGGGGAAAAGGAAAGACAGAGGCAAGGGUCGGAUAUAAAGAGGCUUGAUUCUAAAAUGUAUGUUUGUUUUAAAACUGGUUUGCCUUGUGAAGACUCAUUUCCAUGAACACAGAGGACGAAUAGGAUCUGACUCAUCCUGACAGGUCUUCAUCAACAUCAGAUCAUUUUGGAAUACAGAUCAGGAUUUUAUUUUAAAACAGUAAGGUCUUGCUUAGUUUUUCUAUUGUACUUUUUUUAUUAUUAUUAAUUUAUAUUAAAUGUUAGCUGAUGUUGCGGUAUGUAAGACAUAAACUUUUCCAAAAAAAAAAAAAAACACAUAUGAUAUGUAAGACAGCGGAUAUUGCUUAAGUUAGAAGAUGUGUAAGGAACAUGGACUUGUAAUUGUUCUAUGGGUUGUGAUUAAUAGCAGCAUCAUAAUUAAAGUUAAUUAAAUUGCAUUUACUGUAAACUUUGUUUAGUAAGUGUGUGUAUUUGUAUUAGACCGGAUGUGAGUAGAUUGUUCCGCUUUACAUGGGCUUAACAGGAAGUUUAAAUAUAUAAUUUUGCAGAAAAAAAAAAACAAUAAAUAAUUGAUUACCAGAUAUUCA
ensembl:lncRNA